UAGGGAAUCUUCCGCAAUGGACGCAAGUCUGACGGAGCAACGCCGCGUGAGUGAAGAAGGAUUUAGGUUCGUAAAACUCUGUUGUUAGAGAAGAACAGCGCAUAGAGUAACUGUUAUGCGUGUGACGGUAUCUAACCAGAAAGCCACGGCUAACUACGUGCCAGCAGCCGCGGUAAUACGUAGGUGGCAAGCGUUGUCCGGAUUUAUUGGGCGUAAAGCGAGCGCAGGCGGUCAAUUAAGUCUGAUGUGAAAGCCCCCGGCUCAACCGGGGAGGGUCAUUGGAAACUGGUUGACUUGAGUGCAGAAGAGGGGAGUGGAAUUCCAUGUGUAGCGGUGAAAUGCGUAGAUAUAUGGAGGAACACCAGUUGCGAAGGCGACUCUCUGGUCUGUAACUGACGCUGAGGUUCGAAAGCGUGGGUAGCAAACAGG
rnacentral:rRNA from 1 species